rnacentral:rRNA from 1 species
UACGUAGGGUGCAAGCGUUAUCCGGAAUUAUUGGGCGUAAAGAGCUCGUAGGCGGUUUGUCGCGUCUGCUGUGAAACUGGAGGCUCAACCUCCAGCCUGCAGUGGGUACGGGCAAACUAGAGUGCGGUAGGGGAGAUUGGAAUUCCUGGUGUAGCGGUGGAAUGCGCAGAGUAUCAGGAGGAACACCGAUGGCGAAGGCAGAUCUCUGGGCCGUAACUGGACGCUGAGGAGCGAAAGCAUGGGGAGCGAACAGG